CAAUUGCAGAGCAUUUUACAACAUAAAAAUGCCUUACAAUUUUGCCAGGUUUCUCAUGCUCCAUAGUGGUGGAAAAGGUGAACCCUCUCCUAGAAGGGAGCGUACAAGCUACCUGUUGAGGCACAGUUUUCCUACUGGUGACGUGGCACACCUGCCGAGUCCGAGUCGACUAACACUCAAGAGCUUUGGCUGCACAAGAAGGGAAAAGAAAAGGAUCGAAGAGACCGGGGGUGAACCGGCAGGGACAUUCCGAUGCCUAAGUCAUAAUUUGAAAGAGAGAGAGAGUAUAAACAACAAAAGAAAGUUUAGGAGCUAAAGUUGCGCUUACCCAAAUAUGAAGAAAUGAUCCGUCUUUUAUAGGUGUUUAAUAAAGAUACAAGAAAAUCAUUGAUUUUGGGCUCAAAAUGCAAUUCAAAUACUGUAGCAGUACUGUAGCGGACACUGUAGCAAAGUUAAUGUAGUACAUUACUGUAGCUACAGUGCACUUGAGCUCACACAUGCGCCAGAGGCAAAACAAACUCCGAAAUUGAGAAGGAAAGUUUUUUUAGGUCUCCCAAUCCGACUGGGUGACUAAAUUACGAUUUUUCUGGGAUUCUUAGGGCUUGUAGGGUUCUCAUAAUCCCUAUAAAUAGGCUUCUAAGCAUUGAGAAAAGGGAGACACCGCUUCCUAGAGCUAGAAAUCAGAAAAUUGUCUUUGGAGCUUAGAAGAUCAUGAGUGGCUAAACCCCUUCGUGGGGUGUUGAUGUAACCCUAUCCAAGCACAAUGAUUUGAUUGUAUUUAAUUUCUAGAUUUUCAAUUUAUGCAUGUUGAUUGUAUAAC